AAAAUAUCUUCAUUAUCAUCCAACACUACAAGCUCUGUGUUUGUUGAGCUGUGGAGUGAGUGAAGCAGCAAGAGUGGCUCAUGACCAUGGAGCUGUGUACUCAAACCUUCACCAGGGUUCUCCUUUUCAACAACCCUUCUUCUUUCUCUUCCAGUGCUCUUCUUCUUCGUGCCAACACUUCUACUAGACCCUUCAAAUCCAACUCCUUCAAGCUCUCAUCUCUUACCCCUCACAUUCACCUCUUCCAACCCUUUAUCCAUCAUCACAGUUCUUCUCCCUUUAAAGUUUCAGCUUCUUCUUCAGUUGCAGUUGACGCAGAAAAGGACCGUCUUCCAGCUGAUUUGAUUGUCACUGAAACAGAGGAAUCCAAUUCCAGAGUUAGGUUGCAUGUGGAGGUGCCACCAUUGGUAUGUGAGGAUUGUUACAAUACAGUCAUAGCUGAGUUUACAAAGCAAGCAAAGAUCCCUGGAUUUCGCCCUGGAAAGAAGGUUCCGGAAAGUAUCCUUAUUAGCUAUGUUGGGAAGAAAAAUGUUCAGGGGGCUACAAUUGAAUCUAUAUUGAAGAGGACCCUUUCACACGCUAUGGAAUCGGUUACUGGAAGGGCUUUGCAGGACUCAGUACGUAUAGUGACUAAAUUCUCUGACAUGGAGGAGACAUAUUCUUCUCUCGGGUUUCUUAGAUAUGAUGUCAUUGUUGAUGUUGCACCAGAAAUCAAAUGGAUUUCUGACAAUGCAUACAAAAAUUUGAAGAUUGUGGUUGAGCUAGACAGCGAUAUAGAUGCUCAUAAAGCAUCCGAACAGGUAUUUAGAAGGCGCUACAAGUCUACUGGUGCACUGAAAGUUGUCAAUGACAGAGGGCUACAGGUUGGUGAUGUUGCUGUUGUUGAUAUCUCAGCAACAACCAUUGAUCAAGAUGAAUCCAAAAUUGUAAAUAUUCCUUCUGCUGAAAGUAAAGGAUUUAAUCUUGACACAGAAGAUGGUGAUAGAGUAUUACCGGGUUUCAUUGAUUCGAUAAUUGGAAUUCGUCGAGGUGAAACAAAGUCAUUUCCUCUUGUAUUUCCUGAAACUUGGAAGCAAGAAAGUCUUCGUGGUGUUCAUGCUCAAUUUACUGUUGAGUGCAAAGAGCUUUUUUACCGAGAUUUGCCGGAUCUGGAUGAUUCUAUUGCUGAUAAGCUUAUCCCUGGAUGCACCACAGUGGAGCAGGUGAAAGACUUGUUGCUACAGAAAUGCCUAGAAGUGGAGCAAACAGCUAAAGAACAAGCUACUGAUAAUGCUAUCUUAGAUCAGAUUUCUAAGAUGGUAGAAGUUGAUAUACCUCCAUCCUUGUUUGAAGAACAAGGUAGACAGCUUUAUGGAGGCAACCUAUUAGAAAUGCAGGCAAAAUAUAAACUAAAUGAGCAACAGCUGGCGUCUUUAUCGAGUCCAAAGGCUGUGAAUGAAUAUCUUGAGCAUCAGAGGGAAAAUAUAACAAAUUUGAUAAAACAGAAUCUGGCAGUUGGUGAUAUAUAUAGGCGUGAAAAUUUGCAGCUUGCUACUGAAGACCUUGUCAAAGAGGUUGAAAAUUCCAUUGCUGAAUUCAAACGUCAAAAUCAAGAAUAUGAUGAAGAACGAGUGAAGGGACAGGUUCAAGAAAUACUAGAAGGAGCUAAGGUCCUUGAAUGGUUGAGAGAACAUGCAGAGGUUCAGUACAUUACCAGAUGACAAAAUAAACAAAUUAGGAAAGUGAAAGUGCCUGUCCAUUUGAAGGGAAUUUCAUUCGGCUGAUCACCAACACAAACGUGAUUUCUGAGAUCCCAACGCAUAAAUGGAGAAGAAGGAUUUUGUAAUUUGUAGAGUUAAGAUCAACUUGAAUCAGCAUUGAAUUCAAUGAAAGUCCAAAUACACACUAAUAAAUUGCACUCUGACACGUCAAGUUAUCAGGACAAAGUUGUUGAUGAAGCUUAUAAUUAAGAAGGUUGAAGUAUUUCGGAAGGGAUGAUUUUUGAGUGUCAAAUAUAAAUUAUUGUAUCCUGAAUUA